rnacentral:rRNA from 1 species
GAUGAACGCUAGCGGCAGGCUUAACACAUGCAAGUCGAGGGGUAACAGGGAAGAGCUUGCUUUUCCGCUGACGACCGGCGCACGGGUGAGUAACGCGUAUAGAACCUACCUUUUACAGGGGAAUAGCCCAGAGAAAUUUGGAUUAAUGCCCUAUAGUAUUAUUGAAUGGCAUCAUUUAGUAAUUAAACAUUUAUGGGUAAAAGAUGGCUAUGCGUUCUAUUAGCUAGAUGGUAAGGUAACGGCUUACCAUGGCAACGAUAGAUAGGGGUCCUGAGAGGGAGAUCCCCCACACUGGUACUGAGACACGGACCAGACUCCUACGGGAGGCAGCAGUGAGGAAUAUUGGACAAUGGAGGCAACUCUGAUCCAGCCAUGCCGCGUGCAGGAAGACGGCCCUAUGGGUUGUAAACUGCUUUUAUACGGGAAGAAACCCAACUACGUGUAGUUGGCUGACGGUACCGUAAGAAUAAGCACCGGCUAACUCCGUGCCAGCAGCCGCGGUAAUACGGAGGGUGCAAGCGUUAUCCGGAAUCAUUGGGUUUAAAGGGUCCGUAGGCGGGCUAAUAAGUCAGGGGUGAAAUCCAACAGCUUAACUGUUGAACUGCCUUUGAUACUGUUAGUCUUGAAUUAUAUGGAAGUAGAUAGAAUGUGUAGUGUAGCGGUGAAAUGCUUAGAGAUUACACAGAAUACCGAUUGCGAAGGCAGUCUACUACGUAUAUAUGACG